rnacentral:rRNA from 1 species
CCUACGGGAGGCAGCAGUGGGGAAUAUUGCGCAAUGGGCGAAAGCCUGACGCAGCGACGCCGCGUGAGGGAUGAAGGUCUUCGGAUCGUAAACCUCUGUCAGCAGGGAAGAACGGUCACUGUGCUAAUCAUCAGUGAAUUGACGGUACCUGCAAAGGAAGCACCGGCUAACUCCGUGCCAGCAGCCGCGGUAAUACGGAGGGUGCGAGCGUUAAUCGGAAUUACUGGGCGUAAAGCGCUCGUAGGCGGUAUGUCAAGUCAAGUGUGAAAUCCCCGCGCUCAACGGGGGAACUGCCUUUGAAACUGGCAGACUGGAGUGUGUGAGAGGAUAGUGGAAUUCCAGGUGUAGGAGUGAAAUCCGUAGAUAUCUGGAGGAACAUCAGUGGCGAAGGCGACUAUCUGGCACAUAACUGACGCUGAGGAGCGAAAGCGUGGGUAGCAAACAGGAUUAGAUACCCGUGUAGUC